UAGAAUUCAACAAAAUUGAGUCCCAACUCCCAUUCAUCAUCAUUCUUUCACUCUUUCCUCUAGUUUGUCUCCAUUCUCCACGUAGUCGCACACAUCUCACUCUCCACUCUCCUCCAGUCCAGUCUCCUCUCCAUGCAUUGUCGGGCCGUCGGCGUUGCGAGUCCUCUAUCGCUCUCCAGUGACUCCGCGUCCACGCAUCGUCGUUCGCCAGUGUCUCCACGCACCAUCGGGCUAUCGGCGUCACUCGCAUCGUCGCUCUCCAGUCUCUCCACGCAUCGUCAGCGUCGCUCUCCAGUUUCCACGCAUCGUCGGCCCGUUGCUGUUCGUAUACGCGCGGUCUCCGUCUUCUCAAUCAGCCUCUCACCAUCUCAGGUCGCGCUUCCACUCUAUCGACCAGUCUCCAAGACCAAGAGGUAAGAGGAUCCCAUUGCUUUGCUUUCCUUGUCGGCUUUUGUACCUCCAGCCCUCUAGCUCUAUUAUCGAUUCGCUGUUGAAGAUCUGCAAAUCCACUGUUCUCUGCUGUGUUGUAUGCUGUUGAGUAUUAAGUCAAAGUGUAGAAGGUAACUAAAUUUUUUUUUCUUAGGAGUAUUGACUAUUGAGAAAUAACUGUGUGCCGCUGAAAUUGUAUUUCAAUUUUAUAUACGUGUGUUGUCUACUGUUGAAUUUAUGUUGUGGUUGUGUGCUAUUAAAACUAUAUUUUAAUUUUGUGUCUGUGACUUU
rnacentral:lncRNA from 1 species